CCUACGGGAGGCAGCAGUGGGGAAUAUUGGGCAAUGGAGGCAACUCUUACCCAGCAAUGCCGCGUGAAUGAAGAAGGUCUUCGGAUUGUAAAGUUCUUUAAUUGGGGACGAAAAAAAUGACGGUACCCAAGGAAUAAGCCCCGGCUAACUACGUGCCAGCAGCCGCGGUAAUACGUAGGGGGCAAGCGUUGUUCGGAAUGACUGGGCGUAAAGGGUGUGUAGGCGGUGUAGCAAGUUAGAAGUGAAAUACCUAGAGCUUAACUCAGGUGCUGCUUCUAAAACUGCUAUACUUGAGUGCAGUAGAGGAAAGUGGAAUUCCUAGUGUAGCGGUGGAAUGCGUAGAUAUUAGGAGGAACCCCGAUUGCGAAGGCAGCUUACUAAACUGUGACUGACAUUGAUGCUCGAAAGUGUGGGUAUCAAACAGGAUUAGAUACCCUAGUAGUC
rnacentral:rRNA from 1 species